AUGAAUGACCUUCAGUUAAUCUUAGAAUUAACUCAGGACCCAAAGGGCCUCAAACCACAGCCUUAAACACCUCUCACGUCAGUCUCCAUCUCAUCCACUAAACUGGUCCUAAAGUAGUUCUUCAACAUGUAGCACAGCAGGAGGCUGUUUAAAACAGACCACUUAGUUUACUCAUUCAAAGAAGGACCCAUCACACACCCAUUGAGCAAAGCAUGGAACAGAUGUUGCACUGUCUCUUUUCCUUGAGCACAGGCUCCAGAGAACAGCAAGAGCUUUGCAAAGAGAGAGGGGAAUGAAUGAACUUGCCCAUGUGCUGUCCUACUGUCCUGGGGAGAAGAGGGUAAAAAACUGUGGAAUGUGUAACUGCCAAGAAUACAUGAAGUCAGGUUCUGAAAGGUCUAUGUCUCCUAUUCCCAGCAUUCGGCACAAUGUCUGGCUCAAUAAAUUCCAGUUAAGAGCAAUGCUCCAGGAGAUGAAAGGAUUUAACACAAGCCUCCUCAUAUCUGGGCAUAUUAAAGAGGAUCAAGGUGUUCCUGGGAGGAUUAAACAACUCAAGAAGGAAAGUAGGAAAAAUAAUCUGAGAAAGUAGAGAGGAAUUAAACUGAGUGGAAGUCUCAGUGAAUGGAAGAGGGGAAAGAGAAGAAGCUGUAGCCCAUCCUGGCCUCUCUAUGAGUUUUAAAGUUGAUCUCUUCUCAGAGUGGCAGUAACAGAAGCAGCGAUAGUGAACUCAGAGCUUUUAACAAAGAAACAGCAAGGUGUGAGCCAAGGGGCAAUCAGUGUUCACAGAUACUUUUAAGAGGGAAGAAGUCUUUUAUUGGCUCUAAAGUAAUCCCUGAUAAGGCAUGUGGCACUGUCUUGUAUAUAGUCUUUCCAUAGCUGACAGGGAAGUGUGAUGCCUUUUCAGAACAUGUAUUUGAAAUAAAACAAAUGGCAUGUCAAGAAA